UUGUGGCCCGUUGAUUCAUAGCGGGUCCUUGCUAUCCCUCUGCCUCAGUUUGAUAUGUCAGAUUUUGUUGCCUGGAGUCAUACUAAGAGUGGGAUUUUUUCUGUUCGAUCUGCAUAUUUUGUUGAGUGGGAUUACCAACAUGGAAGGAAACUUCGUCGAACUAAUGGAAUGGGUCAAACAAAUUUUAAUCCAAUUUGGUGUAAUAUUUGGAAGUUAUCUUGUCCAGCGAAGGUGAAUUUUUUUAUUUGGCGGACGCUGCAUGGUACUCUUCCAUGUCGUGUUAUGCUUGCUAAUAGCCACAUGAAAGUUUCACCUUUAUGCCCCUUUUGUGCUUCUGGUUUAGAAGACACAAAGCAUCUGUUGUUUCAGUGCCAGAAGGCAAAAGAGGUCUGGAGAAGGCUUGGCUUCGUUGAGAUCAUUGCUCAAGCUUGUGAAGUUGAUCGUGCUGGAGAGGCGGUUCUCGGUUUUUUGUUGCACAUGGCUGACCAAGUUUUAUCUAUUAUGGGGUUUCAGAAUAUUUGGGAGAUGAUUGCCAUUACGUCUUGGUAUUUGUGGUGGGAAAGACGUAAAAUAGUGCACAAGGAGAGAAUUCAAGAUGCAAAACAAAUUUCAAUGGGGAUACAAGCUCUUACGGCUAAUUAUGUUGUUGCUUCCGAUACAAGGGCUUCUAUGAAAAGAGGGGUUGGAUUCGUCCCCCGAUGGGUUUUGUGA
rnacentral:rRNA from 1 species